CCUACGGGUGACUGCAGUAGGGAAUCUUCCACAAUGGGCGAAAGCCUGAUGGAGCAACGCCGCGUGGGUGAAGAAGGUCUUCGGAUCGUAAAACCCUGUUGUUAGAGAAGAAAGUGCGUGAGAGUAACUGUUCACGUUUCGACGGUAUCUAACCAGAAAGCCACGGCUAACUACGUGCCAGCAGCCGCGGUAAUACGUAGGUGGCAAGCGUUAUCCGGAAUUAUUGGGCGUAAAGGGAACGCAGGCGGUCUUUUAAGUCAGAUGUGAAAGCCUUCGGCUUAACCGGAGAAGUGCAUUGGAAACGGGGAGACUUGAGUGUAGAAGAGGAAGGUGGAACUCCAUGUGUAGCGGUGAAAUGCGUAGAUAUAAGGAAGAACACCAGUGGCGAAAGCGGCUCUCUGGUCUGGAACUGACGCUGAGGUUCGAAAGCGUGGGGAGCAAACAGGAUUAGAUACCCGUGUAGUC
rnacentral:rRNA from 1 species